UACGUAGGGGGCCAGCGUUGUCCGGAUUCAUUGGGCGUAAAGCGCGUGUAGGCGGCCAGGUAGGUCCGAUGUGAAAUCUGGAGGCUCAACCUCCAGCGGUCAUUGGAAACCAUCUGGCUAGAGUCCGGAAGAGGAGAGUGGAAUUCCUGGUGUAGCGGUGAAAUGCGCAGAUAUCAGGAAGAACACCUGUGGCGAAGGCGGCCAUCUGGACGAUAACUGACGCUGAGACGCGAAAGCGUGGGUAGCAAACAGG
rnacentral:rRNA from 1 species